rfam:Brassica napus, WGS project CCCW01000000 data, contig: 4108
GGAAUAUAAGAAACCGUUUCUUAACUUUUAACUAAAAAAUCUAAGAACCGACUCUUAAAUAAGAUUUUAGGAGCCGGUUCUUAGUUUUUUUUUGUUAAAAGUUAAGAGACGGUUUCUUAUAUUCC